UCGGGUGUGGUGUAUGGAACACCGUGCGUCUUCCUUGCUGAGUACUAGUAAGGCAAUAGCGCACAGCCCGGGGUUCGACUCCCCGCGCCCGAA